rnacentral:lncRNA from 1 species
GGAUCAGGGCCUAACAAGCCACACCUAUUUCUUACUGUUUUUUUUUUUUUUUUGGGUGGAGGUGGGGGUAGUGGGGUAUUUUAGUUUUGUCAUUUUUUUGUUUGUGGGGUUUGUUUGGUUUGGUUUGGUUUUGGUGGGAUUUUUUUGUUUUUGUCCUAGAAAACAGAACUCUCCAUGUUAAAAUGAUUGGAAAUUGAACUUAGAGGGAUCUAGCAUGUGAUUACUUUUUUUAGACAGGAUUUUCUUCAUAGCUGAAUUGGACUGAGGUUUUUUUUUCUUUCCUUCCAAACCAGAUGGUAAGUGAUUCAGUACUUUUAGCAGUAGAAAAAUGAUUUGUUUUCUUUCCUCAGUAGUUGGUGUGAAUGUACUUUUCUUUAUCUAUUUACAUAUUAUGUAAACACACUUUAACAGCAUAUAUGUACAUAGUGUACAGUCCUAAUCCUGCAGAGAGCCCUGUAUAGGCAAGGCCUUGCACAUAGGAGGAAUUGACAUUGCUUUCAGAGAGCUGUUUGCAUGGAACUCCUGGCAGGAUUAUCACUGUAUUUGGAUUUUUAUGUGUACACUUAAAUAUAUGACACUGUAUGAGGAUGCCAACAGAACUCUUAAGUCCACAAAAUGUUUGAGUAACCUUGUGCACUUUUUUCGCCUAACAAAGUCUCUGGGGAUGCCCUUGAUCUCUUCUGUUGUCUUCCUGUGGUAAGCUGUAGCCCUGGUGACUGUUGAAUUAAAGGCAAAAGCUUAUCCUUAUUAUGGAGUGUUGGGGCAAGUUCUUCCUGGUGUGCAGGGGGAGCGAGGGCCUCAUUCGUCUGGCCUUUUGGACUUGUGCUGAUGCUACUAGGGGGUCUUGGGAAGGGAUUCCUGUAAUGGUGAGAAAUGCUUGUGAGAGUAUUAAAAAAACCUCCUUUCACGUGUGUACUUGAUUUCUCAAAGUUAUCUGCAUCUGUGUUUGUGUAUAUACAAUGUUAAAACUGAAUGUUAAAUGCAGUGCUGUGCCUUGUUCUGUGCUAAAUAAAACGUACAUGUAAAC